GAUGAACGCUGGCGGCGUGCCUAAUACAUGCAAGUCGAGCGAACAGACGAGGAGCUUUCUCCUCUGACGGUAUCGGCGGACGGGUGAGUAACACGGGGUUAACCUACCUAUAAGACUGGGGUAACUUCGGGAAACCGGAGCUAAUACCGAAUAAUAUAUUGAACUGCAUGGUUCAAUAGUUAAAGACGGUUUUUCUGUCACUUAUAGAUUGAUCCGGCCCGCAUUAGCUAGUUGGUACGGUAACGGCUUACCAACGCGACGAUGCUGACCCGCCCUGAGAGGGAGAACGGCUACAUGGGAACUGAGAAACAGUCGAGACACCGACGCGAGGAAGCAGUAGAGACUCUUACGGAAUGGGCGAAAGCCUGAUGGAGCAAAGCGGCCUGAGGGAUGAAGCUCUUAGGCUCGGAGAACUCUGUUAUUAGGGAAGAAGAAAUGUGUAUGUAACUAUGAACGUAAUGACGGUACCUAAUCAGAAAGCCACGGCUAACUCCGUG
rnacentral:rRNA from 1 species